UACGAAGGGGGCUAGCGUUGCUCGGAAUCACUGGGCGUAAAGCGCACGUAGGCGGGUCGUUAAGUCAGGGGUGAAAUCCCGGAGCUCAACUCCGGAACUGCCUUUGAUACUGGCGAUCUUGAGUUCGAGAGAGGUGAGUGGAACUGCGAGUGUAGAGGUGAAAUUCGUAGAUAUUCGGAGGAACACCAGUGGCGAAGGCGGCUCACUGGUCCGGUACUGACGCUGAGGUGCGAAAGCGUGGGGAGCGAACAGG
rnacentral:rRNA from 1 species